CCCGAGCAGUUGGUACGUUCCACUCAGACACGCCUGACGGGAUCAAACCACCAACACACACGCCACAGAGCUCCACUUUAUGUAACCUGCGCCUCGUUUUAUUGCUCUUUUCAUGGUUUCUUCAUCUUUGAAUGAAUAUUUUUGGCACUAAGUGUGAACUUUUUGAACGGACUCUGCUCGUCAGAUGGAGGAACGUCGGGGAGUUUGUUGGAAGAUUCAGGUUGAGAGGACUUUGGGUAUUGAGGCUGCAAGAUCCACCAUCAUCAGUGAGAUUCAGUACACCAUGGUCAACCACGGAAUGAGCAUCGACCGGCGUCACGUCAUGCUUCUUGCUGAUCUUAUGUCCUAUAAGGACCAGACCUGCUGGGAUCUGUACAGAUGUCUCGAUGAGGGUGGGAGUGGUUUCAGUAAAGGAGAGCUGGAUCAGUCUACAAACACAUUGUUGUAACCAGUGUGGGAAAUCUUUCAGGCAGUCAAGUUAUUUGAAACGUCAUAUGCUCAUCCACACGGAAGAAAUUAGUUUUUUACUGUGAUAUUUCCUCAUGUUUGACAAAGUGGUUAUUAUCUUAACUGUGAAAUAAAAGCCCUCCUUAAACAUUAUUUAAUCUAGUCUCUUUUUCAAAAGAGGCCUGAGAACAACAGACAUUCCAAUAAACUACCCUUAGUUAGUAAACUGAAACUAAAUAUUAACUAUAUAUAUAUAAACUAUUGUAACCAAAACCUCCACUGCCAUAUUAGAACAGGAUAUGCUUUUAUUUCUAAAACAUUGCCAAUGAUUUUGACAAAUCAUUCUGUGGUUUUAUUUGAGAAAGUUGUUGCCCCAGCAUUGUCCUACAGGGGGCAGUUGUUUUAAAACUACAUUUGUCUUCCAUGUGUCACCAUUUGCUUGCAUAUUUCAUAAACAUCACAAUCACUAAUUUCCAACUCUAUACUGAUGAUAUUUUCCUGGUUUUCUUAGCUGGCAGGAGAUGAAUUUUUGCAUCCCUACCCUGAUUGUCAUUAUCGAGGCUCGCUUUUUUCCCUAACAUUCUCCCACAACGGGAGUGUUUGACCUUUAAAGUCACGGUUUCUUCUACUGACCGGCACCUUUGUGAUUAAUCCUUGCAGCUCUACUGCAUGAUCUACUGUUUGCUUUACCCCGUUAGUCAUUCUCUAAUAACACUGCAGUUUCUGCUGCUGCCGGUUUUCAACAAAUUCCAGGAGAAGAACAUACAUUACUCCCAUUCACGUCUCCCUGUGAUUUACUAUUGAUUUAGCUGAUUUAGCUUUAAAGCACAGCAUGCUCCCCUUCUGUCUUCCGUCAGGCUCUGCUAAGCCUCCUGCUGCUGAAGCUUCUUACCUGAGCAUUGGUUUGGAAAAAUAAGUAAAUAAAGUCCAAGGACUCACCUAUGUGGGCCCCUCAAAAUUUUUCAUUAUCACUCCCUGUUUUGCCUCUACAAUUUUUUUGUCAUGUUUUUUAACGGUUUAUUCAGUGUUAUUGUAUAACUUUGUUUUUCAAAGCGGUGUCAAUGUUUUAAAGCUUUAUACCCAUGGGAGAUGACUUUUAAUGUGUUUUUCAUCCCACCAAAUAGAGGUGGGAUAUUUGUAUGCAUUGCACUUAUCAGCCAGGAAUAGAGCUAAAGAUGAAAUAACCCAGGUUUGACUCCUCUGUCAGUAAAAAGUAUUUUUCUGUACAAACUGUCUCUUUUUUUUUUUUUUUUUUUUUAAAGUUAUUUUUUUGGCCUUUUUAUCGGAUAGGUGCAGUGAGAGAGAGACAGGAAAUGGGAGAAGAGUCAGGGAAGACAUGCAACAAAGGGCCGCGAGCGGGAAUCGAACCCGGGCCAGCUGCGUCGGGGACCAGCGCCUGUAUAUGGGUUGCCCGCUCAACGCGUUGCGCUAUACGAGCGCCCUCGAGCUGUCUCUUAAUGUUAAAUGAAUGCAUUUAAAUUGCAUAUGAACUGUUCCAUCAGUCGCUUUGGUUUGACAUCAAACAAACAGUUUAUUGGCAUUUCAAAAUGAAUGCAUCCCCUUCCAUUUGACAAACAAAGGAAGUUUUUCUCUCAGCAAAAUAUAGGCUUUGUUAUUAUAAUAAUAAUAAUAAUAAUAAUAAUAAUAAUAAUAAUAAUAAUAAUAAUAAUAAUAAUAAUGAUCAACCCAAGAGCUGAAUAACAGGUGGAGAAGGAUUUAACAAUGCAGAAAAAUCUACAAAAAGAAACAAAAACAAAAAAACCAAGGAGGACAAGCACAAAUUCUUUGGACUUGCUUGGUAACCAACUACAGAGCAGGUGGUGGGAUAGUAGGCUGAAGCCUGGAGGCUGAAAUCACCAAAAUGUGGGCAGAAAAAAACACAUGCGCUGAAAGCUAUCCAGACCUUGUGACGGGGACAUACUUAACGUAAUUCAAAAAACUAACAAAAACAAGGAGUGAGCUAGAAUAACAGAAAUGUUAGCAUGCUAUUCUAAUGUAGCAAGCUACAGGACCGAUUCAGGGCAUUAACUUACUGUUUACAUGCUGCCAACAACAUGGACUGCACUCACAUUUUGCUGAAUGAUUUUGUGGAGGUCGAUCAGAACAAUUUGAUGCCUCAUCUCAUUUCCCAGUUUGUACGUCCGCAAUCUGAGGAGUCAAGGCAACAGGCAUUUCAUUUAAAUGAGACAUCUUUGCCCUGGAGCUGUUGUUUUAAUGUGGCAUCAGUUAAACACAACGCAGCUGCAUCAUCUGUCUAUUGUUUUGCUAUAAUAUACCCCUGUUAUACAUUAUACUAUUUUAAGAUCCCUGUCAGGAGCAGAAAAGUGUUCAUGAUAACUUACAAUACAUACUUACUCAUAAUUCAAUUCACAAUGUGGCAACAUGUAACAAGAACGUACAGAUGAUAUCCUUUCAUUAUUUAGCAAACACUGGCGGUGAAGGAUAAAAGGCACAACAUACAAAAGAGUACUAUACAAACAAAGAGUGACAAGUAUUCUGGUGAGAUGAGCCUAGAGCCAGAAGUAGUGUGCAUGAUAACUGUCUUCCAUUCAGUUAAGUGUUGGGUUGAAUAUGAAAAGGCUGUUGUAGGAGUAUGUUUUGUUCAGCUUAUUAAAACUCAUCUUGGUCAAACACACAUACAGCUCUCAGGCUUUUCUGCCUAUUUCUUGCAUUGUUUUAACUCCUGAUUCCAUUUGAAUAUAAAGAUAACAGCACGAUCUCUAGGUUUAAACUAAUCUACACUGAUUCUUUUUUUUUUUUUUUUUUUUAAAGGCUUUUUGCUGUCUAAAACGGGGAGGAAGUAGCUCAAGGGACAUUCAGAUUUGUUAAUGAAGAGUUAUUGGAGUCUUAAUUCAUUCUGUUUUGUUAAUGAAAUGAGUAAGAAACCACAUUUUCAGAGAUUUGAGAACUGAUAGGACUGAUUAUAGAGUUGAAUCUGUGAAAUCAAAUCUUUCAAUACUCAGCCUUGUUUUAUCAUCCUGUUUAAUAAAGCUUUAAGUCUGUUGUUUUUAGACUUUCAUAGUAAAUGACUCCUUAAGUGUUUCACCUUUUUCUCCUGCUGGUUUUUUUUCUUCUUUGCAUUUAGCCACACUUUAAUCUGUGAUUAAAACUUUCUACUGUGUCUCUCUGCUUCCUGACUGUUCCACCUGCCUGCAGUCUGAUUGCAGCAAUGAGAAUCAGCUGCCGUAAUUGGCUCACACCAGUCGCCUGUUUGCAAUUCCACCUCCCAGCAUAUAAGCCAGCUCUGUCAUUCCCUCCCUGCUCCACCACGGAGUCGCAUAUCCUGCGUCAGCUCAUGACCACCAGAGCUUCUUGGACACGACUCUGCCCUCGUAGCCCUGCCAGUUCCUGUAUGGGUUUCCUACCUACCCCUUCAGCUGAGUUUCUUCCCGUUCCCUUCCUCCCUGACCGUUCCACCUGCCUGCGGUCUGAUUGCAGCAAUGAGAAUCAGCUGCCGUAAUUGGCUCACACCAGUCGCCUGUUUGCAAUUCCACCUCCCAGCAUAUAAGCCAGCUCUGUCAUUCACUCCCUGCUCCACCAUGGACUUGCAUAUCCUGCGUCAGCUCAUGACCACCAGAGCUUCUUGGACACGACUCUGCCCUCGUAGCCCUGCCAGUUCCUGUAUGGGUUUCCUACCUACCCCUUCAGCUGAGUUUCUUCCCGUUCCCUUCCUCCCUGACUGUUCCACCUGCCUGCGGUCUGAUUGCAGCAAUGAGAAUCAGCUGCCGUAAUUGGCUCACACCAGUCGCCUGUUUGCAAUUCCACCUCCCAGCAUAUAAGCCAGCUCUGUCAUUCACUCUCUGCUCCACCAUGGACUUGCAUAUCCUGCAUCAACUCAUGACCACCAGAGCUUCUUGGACACGAUGCUGCCCUUGUACCCCUGCCAGUUCUUGUUUGGGUUUCCUACCUACCCCUUCAGCUGAGUUUCUUCCUGUGACCAUGUGCUACAAAGCAUUACCGGGUAACAAAUACACCUGAUGAAGAUCAGAAAUAUUCAAGCAGAAACCUUCAGCUUCCACGAAGGUGGAAAUCAUUCUGCCAUGAAGACCUAACAACCUUCAAAGACAAUUUGAAAAUGGGAAGAAGUGCUGCGUCACUCUGCGAAGCGCUGCGUCACUCUGCGAAGCGCUGCUCAACUCAACUCAACUCAACUCAACUCAACUCAACUCAACUCAACUCAACUCAACUCAACUCAACUCAACUCAACUCAACUCAACUCAACUCAACUCAACUCAACUCAACUCAACUCAACUCAACUCAACUCAACUCAACUCAACUCAACUCAACUCAACUCAACUCAACUCAACUCAACUCAACUCAACUCAACUCAACUCAACUCAACUCAGACCGACAAAUUCUUCAAUGGAAACUCAGUGGUAAACUAAGAAUCACUAGACAAGGAGCGCCUGUAUAGCUCAGCAUGUUAAGUGACUGACCCGUGUACGGGGGCUGGUUGCAGCUGGCCCAGGUUCGAUUCCCGCUUGUGGCCAUUUGCUACAUGUAUUCUCCCCGUGUCCUGUCUCUCACUGCAACUGUCUGAUAAAAAAAAGGCCAACAAAAACAUUUUUCAAAAAGAAUUGCUAGACAAACCAUCAAUACCACUGCCUUUCCAUGUUAAAACUUGCCACAGU